GUCCCUGGACUGGAAGCUUCAGAAUCAUCUGGAAAUGUGCUAGAAAUGCAGGCUCCCAGGCCUCCCCUACCACUCCUUUACAAGUACACAAGGUCACUGGAUAGAUGGUCCCUUUGGAUCACGUGCUCAUCCCUGGCCCAGUCAGCUGUGAUCAGAGGAGCAAGACCGUGAGAUAAGGCUUGAAACCUAAGGAAUUUCAAAGAGGGGGCCAUGAUGGGCAUUCAGCGGCAUCUCAGGAGGGGGCAGAGUAACCAGCAGGUGCUUUGCAUGCUGGUCUGGUGUGUCUGGAAAAGGCAUCCCGCUAAAACGUUUGUCAGGAAACUUCUCAUCAGCAUUUCCAGCAUGCAGGAGCAACCAAGAGAGCCACUUAGAUACCAUUUGAUUAUAAUGUGUUUCUCAGAGAAAUAAAUAGCCCAA
rnacentral:lncRNA from 10 species